AGUAUGUUUUAAGUGAUAUGCUCUCAUAUUUAAUUUUUUGGGGUUUCUUAUUAUUUCUGAUUUGGGGGUGGAAAUGUGAAGAUUACACUUGUAUAACUUUAAAAAUCAAAUUCAUGCUCUCAUAUUUUGUCUUAUUUCCAUUUCUAAACUUUAGUGAUUCUUAGGGCUCCAACAUUUCUGAAAGUGUCCCUUAAGUAUUGGUUGGAUAACAAUUUUUAUUCCUUAAAAAAAAAAUCCAAAAAAUACAUGUGAAAAAUUUUUUAAACUGCUUCUUCCAUAAUCACAAGCCUGGCCUUCAAGAGCUGGCCCCAGGUGUGUUCCUCCUGCUUCAUACUAAGUGGCAUUGCUAGUCAGUUUUAUUUUCUAUGUUUAAUUUUCAUAUAUAUAUAUAUAUAUAUAUAUAUAUAUUCAUGCAUAUUUUUAUAUUUCUAAAUUUUUUAAAGUUUUAUGUUUAAUGUGCUUAAAACAUCUUUGAUAUUUUAUGCCGACAAAUCCAUAUACUAUUUGGUUACUUGAUAUAGAACAUGUAAGAUUUAUCCACAGUUCUUCUCGGUGAGUUUUUAAACAAAUAAGGAGGUCUGUUUACAGGAACUCUGAACAUCCUCGGAGUCUUUUAAUGUCUUUGCCUUCAACUUAAACGUACAACUGUAUCUUCAGAACGUAAAGAACUACCAAAGGAAACAGGACUCAGGCCAGCAUUUUUGACAACUGUAUUUCAUUGUUGUGUUGGUUAAAUGUAAAAUUUCUUUUUGCAAUGAAAAAUUAGUAAACUGUGAAUAAAUCUGAAAAACAAGGAAACAUUAUAACAGCUUUCCAAGCUCAUUAUCACCUGAAAAGGUAAAUAUACCUAAAUGACAUUUUGUUCAAUGUUUAGCUUGACGAGGAAAUCUCUGGGAUUGUAGAAGUAGUUGGAAAAGUCACAGCCAAGGCGACCGUGCUCUGUGCAUCUUAUACCCUGUUUAAGGAAGAUACUAAUCGCUUUGGUGAGUAAAGCACCGUACUGUUCAGCAGUCUCAUGAAUAGGAGAAAACUUUUAUUUAAGGUUUUUGAUCUAAAAUCUCAGUUUUGGUAUAUUUUCAAUUUCUAUAAAAUGAGAAUAGACCUUGUAAAUUAGUCAUUCCUUGUGUGUAAAGAAAACAAUAAAUACCGCUAGUUAUAGAAUAAAAAGGACUUAAAAUAUGAUAAAAUUAAUAUUUUAAUAUAUGAGUUGGACACUAGAACAGUAUAGUAACACUGAAAGUAUGACCCCAGCAUAAAACGACUUUAAUGGUUUACCAUCUCUCCAGUCUUUGCUAGUACCACAGUUAAAUAAACAUGGGUUGUGAAAGUAAGUCGACUUCUCACAAGGAAAGACAUAGAAAUACUUCAGGUAACAGUUGAUACUGCAGAGUCCACUGUAGAUUAAGUGUUUGCUUAAAUGUUUCUUUCAGAUCUUGAACUUUACAAUGAAGCUGUGAAAAUUAUCAAUGAGCUUCCUCAGUUUUUCCCUGUAGGGCUUCCACAACAUGAAUGAGCUUCUUCAGUUUCUUAAGAUUGCCAGGAAGCUACACUGAAGGCUAUUAAGGAAGACUCCUGCAGUUUAAUGGAGCGACUCCUAUAAUUUCUAAUAUUUAAUUUGUUCUUUUAUAUAUAUAUAUUUUUUUGUAAAUCUAUUAUGACAGUUUACAACUAAGCCUUUUUAUAAACUUUUUUUAAAAGUGAUACUUCAAUAUAUAGUCUGAAUAAUAAAAAUCAAAA
rnacentral:lncRNA from 1 species